AUAAUGAAAAUGGGAUGUUUACAUCAGUAAGAGUCCAAGGAGGAGAUUUUAAUUAGGAUUCGUGGAGAACAGAUGAAGUGUUUUUACUGGGAAAGCAGGCCUAAAAUCAGGCCAAGAGGACCUGUUGGGCCACGGCCUUUCUGAAAGAAGGGAGAAGAGCCUAGCUGCCUUGGGAGGAGACCAGGGAGAAGGCCUUUUGAUGGCUCUAUUGUUCCAAGCGCUUGCCCUACAAAUACCACAUCCCUCCCCGUCUCUUCCGCAAGGGCAGAGCGGGAAACUGGGUCGGUCGGUUGGGCCGAGCUCGAAGUAGCGACAGCGCUGGCACCAACCUCUCGGCCCCUUCUGCGGCCCCUUGGGGCGGCAACGGCGCGCCAUUCCCGUCGCAGGCCCAAAACACACAAAGGAAGCCCCCACCCGUCCUCAGAUGUGGGGACACUCUGGGGAGGAGGCUGGCGUGGACCCCGAGUCUGAGCACCUCCCUCCCCCGCGGGGAACAAUAGCCGCCGCCUCCCCGGGGCGGCCGGGCGGUCGCGCGGCACAAAGGCCGGCUCCGGGCCGCGCCACCAUGUGACGCGCGCGCUCGUUCCGCGCUCUCCGGCCUGCAGCCGGGCGCAGUCAGCAGAGAGCCGGAGCGGCCAGGCUGCCUCAAUCCACCUGGCACACUUUCCGAAAGACAAACGCGGUUCCUCCUACUUCAGAGCAAGUCUGGGCCAGCUGGGAGCCGACCAGAAACCGCAAGCAGAGGAGACACAGGCACCCGGGGUGAGCGCUCACGGAGGGCGCGACCCGCCGCCCCAAGCUCUGCGGCGCUAGGCCGGACACCCCCCCACUCCCCGUCCUCCCGGCCGCCUGCCGGCCCCGCCUCCGGACCCCUUGCAGCCCACGGCUCUCCUAAGGGGCGGCCCCCGCGCCCGCCCCAGACGCACGGAGACUGUAUACCCUGCCCCCCCUCCUGCUCCCCGCCCCCCGUCACACCCUUAGCGCAGCUGUACCCCUGGAAAGGGAAGAGGAAAAUCCCAGGUUUUGCAGACACUAUGUAAGAGUCUUAAAAAAAGAAAAAAAAGAAAAAAAAGAAAAAAGAUUCCCAGGGGACUAGAAUUCAGGGAUGGGGCGGAGCUAGUUUAGUUCUCUUAUUUACCUGCAGGAGUCAUUUAUUUGGAAGCAAGCAAGGGUAUCCCUGUUAAACUUGGAACUAAACCUGAAUGCCAUAUAAAAAGAACAAUUAAAAUACACGUAAAAUGCCAACCAUAAUGAUAUGCCUCUCCUCUCUUUUCAAGUGUGAAGGAAGGACUGGAGUAUUUUUACGUCAGCUCUUUUGGGGUUCAUUUUAGAAAUACCAGAAAGGGAUAGACUGAAAACUGUGAGCGUUGGUGGAGGGAGAGAGAAGGAGGUCGUUAGCAUUAGAGCUGUUUGCAGCAGGAGGUCAUGGGUAAAGUGGGUGGUGAAGCGUUCUUAUGGUGGUGCUUGUAGUCCUCGGUAAGUUCUAAGAAAGUUUCAGGCUAUCCCCUCUUUUACCCUCUUUUUGAAUGACAUCAGCUGAGAAAUUUCUGACGUUAGUUAAAAGUUGUUGCCUCAGCCUAUAGGAAAGAGCCCCUGAAAGACAAAAUCCCAGCUCCUCCCUCCCUGUCUUCUCUCUCAGCAUCCUCUCAGGUGGAAAUUAACUUGCUUUGGAAAGAUGUUCUACUAUCAUUUUACUUUAGAUAGAUAGAAGCUGUAGCAUUAAGUCUUGCACAGUGUCCUGAAUUCUUUAAGCAAUUACAAUACUGGUCCUCUUG